rnacentral:rRNA from 1 species
AUGUAUAGUGAGAACUAAUUGCACAAUAAUUAUUUGGUGCAAUAUCGACUCUGUUGAAUAAAAUUCUGGGUGGAAUUAUGAUAAUGACAUUGUCUGCCCAUGUGUCUUGACCAAAUUACGUGCCAGCAGUCGCGGUAAUACGUAGAAGACUAGUGUUAUUCAUCUUUAAUAGGUUUAAAGGGUACCUAGACAGUAAAUAAAGCCAUAGAAGGGACUAGUUUGCUAGAGUUACUUAUGAGGGGGUUGAAAUGUACUAGUGGUGUAGAGAUAAAAUUUGUUGAUACCUUUUUCCUAGAGAAGACAUAUGGCACAGAUAUAGGCGAAAGCGUC